GCCAGACUCCUACGGGAGGCAGCAGUGGGGGAUAUUGCACAAUGGGGGGAACCCUGAUGCAGCGACGCCGCGUGGGUGAAGGAGUAUUUCGGUAUGUAAAGCCCUAUCGGCAGGGAAGAAGCAAGACGGUACCUGACUAAGAAGCCCCGGCUAACUACGUGCCAGCAGCCGCGGUAAUACGUAGGGGGCGAGCGUUAUCCGGAUUCACUGGGUGUAAAGGGAGCGUAGACGGCCAAGCAAGCCAGGGGUGAAAGCCCGGGGCCCAACCCCGGGACUGCCCUUGGAACUGCUUGGCUGGAGUGCGGGAGGGGCAGGCGGAAUUCCUGGUGUAGCGGUGAAAUGCGUAGAUAUCAGGAGGAACACCGGCGGCGAAGGCGGCCUGCUGGACCGUAACUGACGUUGAGGCUCGAAAGCGUGGGGAGCAAACAGGAUUAGAUACCCCCGUA
rnacentral:rRNA from 1 species